GGACGAACGCUGGCGGCGUGCUUAACACAUGCAAGUCGAACGAUGAAGCUGGAGCUUGCUCCGGUGGAUUAGUGGCGAACGGGUGAGUAACACGUGAGAAAUCUGCCCUUGACUCUGGGAUAACUGCGGGAAACUGUAGCUAAUACCGGAUACUUUCCCUGGUGGGCAUCCACUGGGGAAGAAAGAAUUUCGGUCAAGGAUGAUCUCGCGGCCUAUCAGCUAGUUGGUGAGGUAAUGGCUCACCAAGGCGACGACGGGUAGCCGGCCUGAGAGGGCGACCGGCCACACUGGGACUGAGACACGGCCCAGACUCCUACGGGAGGCAGCAGUGGGGAAUAUUGGGCAAUGGAGGAAACUCUGACCCAGCGACGCCGCGUGAGGGAUGAAGGCCUUCGGGUUGUAAACCUCUUUCAGUAGGGAAGAAGCGAAAGUGACGGUACCUACAGAAGAAGCACCGGCUAACUAUGUG
rnacentral:rRNA from 1 species